rnacentral:rRNA from 1 species
GAUGAACGCUAGCGGCAGGCCUAAUACAUGCAAGUCGGACGGGAUCAGGGAGCUUGCUCCCUGUGAGAGUGGCGCACGGGUGCGUAACACGUAUGUAACCUACCUUUAUCAGGGGGAUAGCCUCUCGAAAGAGAGAUUAACACCGCAUAACAUCACGAUGAAGCAUUUCAAUGUGAUCAAAUAUUUAUAGGAUAAAGAUGGGCAUGCGGGACAUUAGCUAGUUGGCGGGGUAACGGCCCACCAAGGCGACGAUGUCUAGGGGAUCUGAGAGGAUGACCCCCACACUGGUACUGAGACACGGACCAGACUCCUACGGGAGGCAGCAGUAAGGAAUAUUGGUCAAUGGACGCAAGUCUGAACCAGCCAUGCCGCGUGCAGGAAGACGGCCCUACGGGUUGUAAACUGCUUUUGUACCGGAAUAAACCUUUUCACGUGUGAGAAGCUGAAUGUACGGUAAGAAUAAGGAUCGGCUAACUCCGUGCCAGCCGCCGCGGUAACAC